rnacentral:hammerhead_ribozyme from 1 species
AUCCGACUGACAAGUUCGAAAUGGGACGAAACUUGAGUUCUGGAU